rnacentral:rRNA from 1 species
GAUGAACGCUAGCGGCAGGCCUAAUACAUGCAAGUCGAACGGGAUCUGAGGGUAGCUUGCUACCCGAUUUGAGAGUGGCGCACGGGUGCGUAACGCGUGAGCAACCUACCCAUAUCAGGGGGAUAGCCCGAAGAAAUUCGGAUUAACACCGCAUAAUAAUACGCUAACACAUGUUAAUGUAUUUAAAUAUUUAUAGGAUAUGGAUGGGCUCGCGUGACAUUAGCUAGUUGGUAAGGUAACGGCUUACCAAGGCGACGAUGUCUAGGGGCUAUGGGAGGAGAAUCCCCCACACUGGGACUGAGACACGGACCAGACUCCUACGGGAGGCAGCAGUAAGGAAUAUUGGUCAAUGGGCGCAAGCCUGAACCAGCCAUGCCGCGUGCAGGAUGACUGCCCUAUGGGUUGUAAACUGCUUUUGUUAGGGAAUAAACCUACUUAUGUAUAAGUAGCUGAAUGUACCUAAAGAAUAAGGAUCGGCUAACUCCGUGCCAGCCGCCGCCGUAA